CCUUACUUUUUAAAAGGUGAGGAGUGAGUCGUUCACUCACAGAGAGCCUGAAAAUGUUAAUUAGAAAUAGCUCAGUGCAGAGGUGGAGCAUCCAAAGGAGCCAGCAGUGGCUGGUUUUCUGGUCCUGCUGAACUGGGGGCUGGAGCAUCUUUCACUCCAAGCUACAGUGGAUGGAUCCAAUCUAUCCAAGAGAGCACCAUCCAGGGAAGUAUGUCUAAAACAACUUGUCAGAAGGAGCACGUGGCCUGAGGCAGGUACUGGGAGAACGUGCAGAGCCAAGGGAAUCGGAUGCCAGUGAAGAUAGGAAUCAGGAACGUCCAACAGGGCAGAGGAACAAGAAGCUUCUGGAGCAAUUUCAGAGCUUUAGUAGUUGCCUAAAGCUAAGCUUUACAUUCUAAUAGAAUGUUGUUUUGUCAAGCUGGAUGCUUUGGAAUCUUCCCGAAUGGAACACAUGGGAGAAAUAAGAAAAUUUAAAAGAAGGUUGAAGUUGAUGUCACAAAACAUAGGAUAGAACUGAGCAGAGUUUGCAUUCCUAAAGCUUUCCAUACCCACAUGGGAGUGCCUGCUACAUUAUUAAAAAGGUAGAUGUAUAAUGAGAGGAGGAAAACAGCGUCUUUAGGACCUGCCAAAACCUCCCAGGGAGGUGAAAUUAUUUCCCAAGACGCAAACAAAAGUUAAAUCUGCAGAAACAGAUCUAUAGGGUUAUCUUUUGUUCUAAAACAAAAGAUACAUGUCAUCAAAGAAGUAUAUCAAUUUGAUUGUGUUGGUGUUACAUUUACAAAAAGUCCCUCAGAGCCACUUGUAUAAUCUGAGUCAAGAAAUUGGACCAACUCUGCAAAUAUUAGGGUCUAUUAUAUGGACCAUUACAGUUAUGAUGUCCAAUGAAAAUUCUAGAAGAAUAUUGGAUAGGUGGAAUAUUUCUAAACAUUCGGAAUCCUUUUAGUUAUGUAAUCAAAUCCACUUAGCAUCAGAACUUUUGGAUAUUUGACGGAAUUACCCAAAGGAAACGGAACAACAAAAGGAGACUAUUUAAGGUGUUGACUUCGUGAAGGUAUCAAUUCCUCAAAAUUCUUCAAAAACAGAUUAUUGACUCAAAACAUGAGACAUAUUCUUUUCUGCUCUAUGAAUAUCCAGAAUGCCCAGAAAGGAUUAGCGAACCACAGCUGGAAUAUACAAAAGUUGUAGUUUUAUGGAUUUUUUUCAAGGAUUCAUUCUUUCAAGUAUGUGCUUUAUGGACUCAGAUAGCCAACGGAUACUUACAUUCGGAGGUUAAAUAAAUUUGCUUUUAGAAAAAAAAAAUUAUGAAUCUGCCAGGAGAACUAAUCGCUUUCUUCUGGUUUUAACAAGGCCAAUUUCCAAAAAAGCCAGAGAAAACCACAACAACCUGAGAAGGGAAUCUUUCUAGUACUCCAACUGGAAUAAAUAACUCUCUCUGAGCUUACUUUUCACUGGAAUUUAUAUCUCAUUAGGGAUGAAAUCUCAGCAGAGUAAUGUGCUCAGCACCAUUCAGGCUGGAAUCUCACCAGCCAUAAACAUCUCAGAAAUACACAUCUAAGCCAGCCUCGGCCGGGAGCCAAGACAAUACAGUAAUCCACUUGGACAGCUGAGAGGGUGAAGCUGGGUCAGAGAUAAGUAGCGCCGGCUGCUUGUUCGUAGCUCACCUCGCACCUGAUAAGCCCAGACACAGGGCUGCGCAGCACAGGUGUUCCGGUUGUGUCUGCCUAAGACUUAAAGACUCCACCAUCCAAUCUCUGUUACUGUAACUAUACUCGCCCCUGAGACUCAAUAUUUGCCAAAAUGAAUAAAUUUCCUAAGUGCGUGGAGGCUGCUGAAAUAAAAU